rnacentral:rRNA from 1 species
UGGCGGACGGGUGAGUAACGCGUAAAGAACUUGCCCUUUAGACUGGGAUAACAGAGGGAAACUUCUGAUAAUACUGGAUAAGUUAGUAUAUCGCAUGAUAUGCAAAUGAAAGCUACGGCACUAAAGGAGAGCUUUGCGUCCUAUUAGCUAGUUGGUAAGGUAAGAGCUUACCAAGGCGAUGAUAGGUAGCCGGCCUGAGAGGGUGGACGGCCACAAGGGGACUGAGAUACGGCCCUUACUCCUACGGGAGGCAGCAGUU